UAUUAUCAUACAACGAAAUCAAUGGAAUCGUACCUGAUGCUUUUCGAUUUUAUACCAAAGAAAGGAAUUUUGUAUAAAGAGGCAUCUCGGGAUGGAGCUGCUUCAUCCUUCCCGGCAAUUUCGAUGUCAUUGGCUGUCACAAUUGGAGGAGAAUCUAGGAAAAGGAGAAGAAGAAGGAAGAGGAGGAUGAGGAUGAGAAUGAGGAGGAUGUGGAGGAGGAGGAGUCUCGCAAUUUCCUCCGGUGGACGCUUAUCCGAUUGGAAAUUGCACGACAAAAACUUGAGAUCGUUGCACCCUACGUCAGGCACGUUUGAAAGACGCUACCGCAAGUCGAGCGCUUUACGAGAAUGCGGACGGUCGAGUCAACAGCCCUGAAUUCCUUCGUUGACUGAAAGUAUUCACGGAACGAAGGAUAUAUUCUUUCUCUCUUCACCUCUCCCUUUCGUAUUUUAUUCGCAAAAAGUCUUUGUUUCUUUCUUAUUUUUCUUAUUUUCCCGUCAUUCAGACGACGCGGAAUACUCGACGA